UUCCUAUCUUUUUCCCUCAAAUGAUGCAGCAUCAACUAUGAGGAUUCAUUGGAUUGUGAAGCUGAUUGAUGUCCUUCUUCUGUACCCCUGAAAGUUGCUAGAAGCAAUGAGGAGCUCUUGCAAAAUCUCGACGCCCCGCGCUUCAAAUUGGAUCCCUCCUAUGUCUAUGAAAUUAUGCCCUGCAGAGUUGCGAUUCCUCCUUGAUGAUUUUGAUUAUAGCCUGAGGAGGGUUGGAGACUUGAAGCUCCAAUUAUUUUGUAGGUUGCAUGUGCUGCAUUGAAUUUGAGCUCUGGAGAGGUGGACGGCAACCUCUUCGAACUCGACUCCCCUGAAUCAAUGGACACAGUGCUUGACCGCCAUCUUCUGCGCUUGACCGCCACCUAAGCUGCUUGAUUAAUCGUUUACAUGGCUCCUGCACCUUCCAUGGGAUCCUUGCUGCUGGGCGAUACCCGACUCAUUUCUGAAAUCCUGUUUUCACGCCAAAACCUGGGCUAUCCUCUUUUUGGACUGAGUCACUCUGGGUAACACUUAGAGCUUUUGCCUCAGAUCACAAAUGCUCUGGCUAAGAGACGUUUCUUUUUUUGUAUUAUCAAUGAAAUAUGAGAACAGAAUUUCUAGUGGUGGUUGCCUGCUCCAAUUUGAAUGAAGGUUCCCUAAUUCUGCUUCUCUGGCUACUUUAUGUGCAAGAAGAUUUCCUUCUCUGGGAGUCCAAGUUAUGCC